GCUGCCCCCCCUCCCCCAUCAGCGGGGGCCAAUGUGGGAGCAGGCCCAGGAUUAACCCUUUCCUCCCCCCUCCCAGGCCGUGCUGCACAUGGAGCAGAGGAAAACCCAGCAGGGGGAGGCACCGGCGGAGGAGCUGAAAUUCCAGGACCUGGGCCUGGACGCCGCCCUGGCAGAUCCGGCCGCGCCGGCCACCCCAGCCCAUGCCCCUGAACAGAACCACGUGGAACCUCCCCAGAACCAGCAGCAGCAGUCGCUGCCAAAGCCCGAAGUCCAGAUCCAGUGAAACCCUGUGUGAGCUGGAGAGGGGCGGAGCCUCUUGUUGGCCCCACCUCCUCCCACUUCUGGGCCCUGCCCCUCUUCCUUCCCCACUGGCGCGGGGCUGGGGUCCUAGUAUAGCAUCCAGGCCAGGGGCUGUGCUGUCCGCAGUCCCCUUUUUGGCCACUGGGGGGUGACAUUGAGUCUUGCCUAUUUUUGGAUCAGGGGCGUCAGUUGGAGCUGGGGGCUUCCUGCCCCAUAGUACUGCAUUGUUUCCUAGCUUCCCCCACUUUCCUGGGGGUGGGGGGCUGCUGCAGUGCAUGCUGGGUAGGCCCAGCUCAGUUUUUCCCUUCCCCACCUGCACACGAGCAGGUAUUCUGGGGGUCGGGGCAGGCUUGCAGUGCACCUUGCCAUUGGGCGGUGCAUUAUGGGUAACCCAGCCCCCCAUCAUGGCAAUAGAUUGUGCUGUUAGCACUGUCUCCCCCUGCCCUCCUCCCCCCCCACACCAAAAAGCCACCUGCUCCCCCAAAUUCUCUCAGCUCCGUCUUUCCAUAUUGCUCAUGGGGCCCCUGCCCCCUCCCCCCCCCCAUCUCUGCUCUCCCUCCCCACCCUGUGCUGGUCGCGGCGAUGAAAUAGACAAACUCCCCCCCCCCCCCAUUGUCCUGAGCCCCUGGGUUUAUAACACAGGGGGACAGACCCACCCCCCCUUAAAAUCCUUCAUCCCCUGGCCACCUUCCCGAGCCGUGAGUGGGGUUCCCGUGGCGACUCCCCCGCUCCAAAUUCUAGCUGCAGCCUUAAGGCUGAUAGAACCGGCUUCAUUAAAGGGGGGUGGGCGGAGCUUCCGGGGGGGCGGAGCUUCCCCUGAGCUGGGCCCGACCCCACCAGACCCGGGGCAGGGUGGGAGCAGACCCAGGUUAGAAAUUAUGGGACUUGGCACCAGACUGGUUUUGAAUCAUGGGCAUUUUUGGGGAGACUGCGGGGGAUGGGCCGGGACCGAGACCUGGCAGGAGUUUGGGGGUGAUCUGGUGGGGGCUCCCCUUUUGGGGGGGAUAGACCCCAUGACCCCCCUAGCAGCGCUCCCCAGCUGCUAUGGAACGAAACUGACCAGGCCCCGGGUGUCUCCCCAACCCUCCCCCCCCAACUUGUACUAGCUUUAGGGGUGCUCUGCUGUCCCCCAAAUCUGCAGUCUCUGCCCCGCAGCACGGGGAGCAGUCGCGUGUGUCUUUCUGCCUCGCUGUUUUCCCCACAUAAAGGGAUAAUUUAAGACACAAA